AGAGGGUGAAACUCCCGUCCGCCUGGUAGAAUGAGUCUUUGUCAACGAGUCGGAGUUGUUUGGGAUUGCAGCUCUAAUUUGGUGGUAAAUUCCAUCUAAAGCUAAAUAUUGGUGGGAGACCGAUAGCGUACAAGUACCGUGAGGGAAAGAUGCAAAGAACUUUGAAAAGAGAGUUAAAGAGUACCUGAAAUUGCUGAAACGGAAGUCGAAGGAAACCAGUAGUUUGUUGGGUUCAUAUUUCCGUUGGCCACUUGUGGUUUGGGCGCUGUGAGCUUGCGUGGGUUGGUGUUGAUCCCUUUGGAAGAGCGCAGUCAGAGUUGAUGUCU
rnacentral:rRNA from 1 species